UACGAAGGGGGCUAGCGUUGCUCGGAAUCACUGGGCGUAAAGGGUGCGUAGGCGGGUCUUUAAGUCAGGGGUGAAAUCCUGGAGCUCAACUCCAGAACUGCCUUUGAUACUGAAGAUCUUGAGUUCGGGAGAGGUGAGUGGAACUGCGAGUGUAGAGGUGAAAUUCGUAGAUAUCAGGAAGAACACCCGUGGCGAAGGCGGCUCUCUGGGACGGUACUGACGCUGAGACGCGAAAGCGUGGGGAGCGAACAGG
rnacentral:rRNA from 1 species